rnacentral:rRNA from 1 species
UGCCGGACCUGACUGCUAUCGGAUUGAUACUAAGCCAUGCGAGUCUUUGUAGUAAUACAAGGCAGACGGCUCAGUAACACGUAGUCAAUCUAACCUAUGGACAGGGAUAACCUCGGGAAACUGAGAAUAAUACCUGAUAGAUCAUUAUACCUGGAAUGGUUUAUGGUCGAAAUGAUUUAUCGCCGUAGGAUGGGACUGCGGUCUAUCAGCUUGUUGGUGAGGUAAUGGCCCACCAAGGCUAUAACAGAUACGGGCUCUGAGAGGAGAAGCCCGGAGAUGGGUACUGAGACACGGACCCAGGCCCUAUGGGGCGCAGCAGGCGAGAAAACUUUGCAAUGUGCGAAAGCACGACAAGGUUAAUCCGAGUGUUUUCUGCUAAAGAAAUCUUUUGUCAGUCCUAAAAACACUGAUGAAUAAGGGGUGGGCAAGUUCUGGUGU